rnacentral:rRNA from 1 species
CGAUGGUAGUGUGGGGUCUCCCCAUGUGAGAGUAGGACACUGCCAGGC